UGCUAAGAGCAGGUGAAAACUAGAAAUAAAUCUAUAUGGGGCCUUAUUUUCUUCAGUAGCUAGCUGCUUUGUGGUGGGGCAUUUAUACCGCUCUUUAUCAGAGCUCUCAGGUGCCAACUGAGUACAAGCCACAAGAGGGAGGAAAUGUCAAGAUUUGGGCAUUCUUACUACAUACGGUUUGUAUUUUUAUCAACAUACUUCAACUGCGGAAAUGCUUACCCUUGAAGAUAAGGAAAACAACCACUCACUUCAUCAGGAAGACAUAUACAAAAUUUCUAUAAAAGCCUUGAACUUUUUGUAGCAGCUUCCUGCAAGCCACAAAUGACAGUUCUACAAUGUAAGGAGAGCAACUGAGAUCUUUCAGCCUUGUUUUGUCGAUAGAUUCCUUUCUGCUCUGUUAACAACCCACUCAAGCCCUCUGACAUGGGGCUAAAAGCCAGGGACAUCACUAUCGGUUAUCAUGGCUGCUUCAGGACAAAGACCGCCUUUUGAAGUCCCUUUUGUGUUUAUUCAAAGCAGCACAUAUUCAGAGCAGAGAGAACUAAGGUAUAUAUUCUCUUAUAAUUUAGAUACCAGACAGCAGUUUUACCAAAAUGUAUUGAACAUUAGGUUGCUAAUGUUGUUGUUUCACCAACCCUUCACCCCAACUGUAGUGACACAAGUAGUGAAAAAAAAUGAAAUCUCUAUUUUUUUAAUGUUUACCAACUAUAUGCUGUUACCCACUGUAGAUGAACGAUGGAAAUAAAAUCUUUUGCCUUUAAUAAUAAGCAACAAUUAGAGUAUAUGAAAAGUGAUUUUUAUGCAUCAAUAUAUCACCUGUAAUCUAUAAAAUCAACUGAGAACCUACCACAUGUUUUAUUUUUUUAUCUCCACAAAGAAGCUAUUAACAAAUGAUGAUCAAUAUUGGUUUGUAGUAGAUUGACCAUUUACAUUUCUUAUUGCAAUGCAUGAUCCAAAUGGAAAUGAUUGCUAAUUUCUUUUCUCCAUUACUCUAGGGUAGUCAAGCACCUUCAAAUAAUACUGAAAUCAAACUUGUAGUUAAAACGACUCUGCUUGAAAAAUUUCAAGGGUACUGACAUUUACAGAGUAAAUGAUAGGGCAAAAGUAGUAGGUCUUAUACCAUCCAAAGUUUGGUAAGUUAAAGAAAAUGAAGUAGUGCUAGAGGAAAGGACUUUCCCUUGGUGGGAAGAGGAAGGAGAGGAGAGGAGAGGAAACUCCUCCUUCUGUAAUUAUAGAAGACUCAUACCCAAGGAGGAAAAUUAGGAGUUCAUCCAAGAAAUGAUACAUUCUCCAAAUUAACCUGAUUGAAACAUAUAGAGUUUGAUAGAAAUUUUGUCUAAUUAUUA
rnacentral:lncRNA from 1 species